UUUAUAUUUCAUAACUUUAUAGAAUAUUAUGUAUUUUUAUACAAAGCCAAAAGUUUUGAUCUAUAAACACUUCAAAAAUGUUUUUCAUGUCCUAUAAAUUUACGAAAUUAACAUUAAAUAUAAAAUUAUUUUAGUAUAGAUUAGUUUAAGUAGGCCCCUAGAUGAUCAUUUUUAUUGUGCAAUAUUAUUUAACAAUGUUAUUGAACAACUUAUUCUACAAUAUGAUUAAAAGGCGGGCGCGUUCAAUAUUAACCCUAGACGGUCCAUAAUAUGGUCAAUAAUAUUGCACAAUAAAAUUUAUCAACUAAGAGCCGCUAAGAGUUGUGCCAAAAUUUGAUAUUCACUAACAUAACUCUGCUCAAUGUAUUAUGACAUUCCUUACUCAACCUCAUUUUGUGAUAUCCGGGAUGUUAUACAUUCUUUAUACUUAUCUUGCUAUCUUUUUAACUUGCCUUGACCUUAAGAUUCUUGAUGGUAGCUUAGAAUUUAUAUUUUGCAGUGCGAAGACUGUAAAAUUAUUACUAUACUUGUAUUAUAGUAUGACCCAUUUUUGUACUCAUUAUUGAAGCAGUUUUUGCAAUAGCGAUGAGAAAACAUUAUGAAAUAGUUGUAAUAGUAGGUUAGACAAAGCUGUGUAAUGGUAUUGUAUGGAAAUUUUAAUCUGGUUAUCUUGAAAUUGUAUUCAAUUUGUAACUUUAUAAUUUAAAAGUCAAAGGGCCGUGAUGGAUAACAAUGUUUGGCACCAUGAUUAGGCAGCUGUCUUUAGUUAGCACAAUUGACUUUGAUGAUGGGCAAAUAAAAUCGAGUAUUUGCCCAUGUCUACAUUUGUAAAUCAUGGCCAAUUAUCAAGACGCCGUAUAAUACUGCCAGACAGAGUUAGUUUUAAAUUAUUGGGGGCAAAAAGGACUUCAUAAAAUUUGCUAAAAUAUUACAACUUAAGUAUCAGAAAUGUUACUAUUUUUCAAAAAUAAUAAUUUUAAUAUUUCUUGAUUUAGGUAUACCUGAAAGUUAAAAUGAUAAUUUAUUCUUCAUUUAAACUGUUAUAAGUUAUUGUUCUAGAUUUUAGACAGAAAAAAUAGAAGUAAUACCAAAAUUUAAAGCAAUUUACAUAUCAAAUGCUAGACUGCAAUUAUGGCAUACAUUUGUUUCAGUCCUUUUUUGCCUCGUGUUUGUGUCUCGUUUCUAGGAUUAUCUAUAGUUUUUACUGACGACUUUAUAACUUACAUUCUAAACUUUUUGGCCCCAGUGAAAUGUAUUUUUUGAUAACUUUACUCUUGUAACUAGGUUUGUUUGUUAUAAGAUGAU